rnacentral:rRNA from 1 species
AGGUUGACCUCGGAUCAGGUAGGGAUACCCGCUGAACUUAAGCAUAUCAAUAAGCGGAGGAAAAGAAACCAACAGGGAUUGCCUCAGUAACGGCGAGUGAAGCGGCAAGAGCUCAAAUUUGAAAUCCGGCCCCCCUGGGGGCCUGAGUUGUAAUUUGCAGAGGAUGCUUCGGGCGCGACCGCGGUCCAAGUCCCCUGGAACGGGGCGUCGUAGAGGGUGAGAAUCCCGUCUCCGGCCGGCCGGUCUCGCCCGUGUGAAGCUCCUUCGACGAGUCGAGUUGUUUGGGAAUGCAGCUCCAAAUGGGUGGUAAAUUUCAUCUAAAGCUAAAUACUGGUCGGAGACCGAUAGCGCACAAGUAGAGUGAUCGAAAGAUGAAAAGCACUUUGAAAAGAGAGUUAAACAGCAUGUGAAAUUGUUGAAAGGGAAGCGCUUGCGACCAGAGUCGGCCGCGGGGGUUCAGCGGGCAUUCGUUGCCCGUGCAAUCCCCCACGGCCGGGCCAGCGUCGGUUUCGACGGCCGGUCAAAGGCCCCCGGAAUGUGUCGCCUCUCGGGGCGUCUUAUAGCCGGGGGUGCAAUGCGGCCAGUCGGGACCGAGGAACGCGCUCCGGCACGGACGCUGGCUUAAUGGUCGUCAGCGACCCG